rnacentral:rRNA from 1 species
AUGCACGCUGGCGGCGUGCCUAAUACAUGCCAGUCGAGCGAACGGACGAGAAGCUUGCUUCUCUGAUGUUAGCGGCGGACGGGUGGGUAACACGUGGAUAACCUACCUAUAAGACUGGGAUAACUUCGGGAAACCGGAGCUAAUACCGGAUAAUAUUUUGAACCGCAUGGUUCAAAAGUGAAAGACGGUCUUGCUGUCACUUAUAGAUGGAUCCGCGCUGCAUUAGCUAGUUGGUAAGGUAACGGCUUACCAAGGCAACGAUGCAUAGCCGACCUGAGAGGGUGAUCGGCCACACUGGAACUGAGACACGGUCCAGACUCCUACGGGAGGCAGCAGUAGGGAAUCUUCCGCAAUGGGCGAAAGCCUGACGGAGCAACGCCGCGUGAGUGAUGAAGGUCUUCGGAUCGUAAAACUCUGUUAUUAGGGAAGAACAUAUGUGUAAGUAACUGUGCACAUCUUGACGGUACCUAAUCAGAAAGCCACGGCUAACUACGUG